UUAUUUUGGCAGAUUAGUGCAUUAAAUUUAGAAUUUAAAAAUGUAUUUUAUUAAAUUUACAUAUAACA
rnacentral:tRNA from 1 species